GAUGAACGCUGGCGGCGUGCCUAAUACAUGCAAGUCGAGCGAACAGACGAGGAGCUUGCUCCUCUGACGUUAGCGGCGGACGGGUGAGUAACACGUGGAUAACCUACCUAUAAGACUGGGAUAACUUCGGGAAACCGGAGCUAAUACUGGAUAAUAUAUUGAACCGCAUGGUUCAAUAGUGAAAGACGGUUUUGCUGUCACUUAUAGAUGGAUCCGCGCCGCAUUAGCUAGUUGGUAAGGUAACGGCUUACCAAGGCAACGAUGCGUAGCCGACCUGAGAGGGUGAUCGGCCACACUGGAACUGAGACACGGUCCAGACUCCUACGGGAGGCAGCAGUAGGGAAUCUUCCGCAAUGGGCGAAAGCCUGACGGAGCAACGCCGCGUGAGUGAUGAAGGUCUUCGGAUCGUAAAACUCUGUUAUUAGGAAAGAACAAAUGUGUAAGUAACUAUGCACGUCUUGACGGUACCUAAUCAGAAAGCCACGGCUAACUACGUG
rnacentral:rRNA from 1 species